GAUGAACGCUGGCGGCGUGCCUAAUACAUGCAAGUCGAGCGAACAGACGAGGAGCUUGCUCCUCUGACGUUAGCGGCGGACGGGUGAGUAACACGUGGAUAACCUACCUAUAAGACUGGGAUAACUUCGGGAAACCGGAGCUAAUACCGGAUAAUAUAUUGAACCGCAUGGUUCAAUAGUGAAAGACGGUUUUGCUGUCACUUAUAGAUGGAUCCGCGCCGCAUUAGCUAGUUGGUAAGGUAACGGCUUACCAAGGCAACGAUGCGUAGCCGACCUGAGAGGGUGAUCGGCCACACUGGAACUGAGACACGGUCCAGACGCCUACGGGAGGCAGCAGUAGGGAAUCUUCCGCAAUGGGCGAAAGCCUGACGGAGCAACGCCGCGUGAGUGAUGAAGGUCUUCGGAUCGUAAAGCUCUGUUAUUAGGGAAGAACAAAUGUGUAAGUAACUAUGCCCGUCUUGACGGUACCUAAUCAGAAAGCCACGGCUAACUACGUG
rnacentral:rRNA from 1 species